AUCGCCUUUCAGGCUACCGUGCCCAAGACGAUGCGGAUCAAGUUGCAACCGCCGUAAGCGACUGAGCUUCCACCUCACAACGCCAUCCUGCCGGCUGCUGCCAUCACCCAGGUCAUGCUGAUUGCCAACCCUGCCAAAGACCACGUACGCCUGAAAUACAAGCUGAGCUACGCCAUCGAGGAGGAGAACCACACACAUUCCGGCGAAGUGGAUUGCCCCAUCGACACAGCCGCUGCUGCCACCUCAUGAUCACAACAGCCACCCGGCAAGAAGACCCGAGGACACCACCACCGCCGCUGCCCCUACCCCACCGUCACCACUGCAGGUUGACGAUACUGCUGUUCUAACACACAUGCCUGCGUCUGCCGUGCUUCUACUUUCGGAGCCUCUGUGAGUGCCAAUACACGAUCCAGCCCCUGCACAUUCCGCAGCGAUUCUUCUGGCAUCCUCGAGCCAUCGACCUGGAGAGCUCUUACGUCUGGCCUUUGGUCGUCAACUGACUGAUGAUGACUCUUGCCUGUCUUUGUGUUGUGUGCUUUAGAUUAUGAUGUCAGCUGAGCAUGUCGUCUGCUGCUUUACUGUGAUGGCUCUGGACUUUCGACCAAAUCCUAUGCCCCCCUGGGUAGCUCAAUACAGGUUUCAUGCUAGCUGCGAAUUGCAGGAAUUUGCAGACGACAACAAUAGCAGACG